rnacentral:lncRNA from 1 species
AGAGACUUAUAUACAUACAUACACAUUUAAAAGUAUAUUUUAAAACCCUUAGUUUGUUUUUAUCAAUCACGUAGAAAACGAUAUUCAUUUUCAUUUUUCUCCUCUUUUAUUUUGUUUAAAUUAGUAACGUUUGUAAUCGUUAGAAUAGUUCCUUUAUUUUGUCUUGGAUAUACUUUAAUACGGCCCUGGACUGGCGCCAUUCAGACUAUGCCGCAGUAUCGUGUGUAAAAUAAUUCAAGCACACUACUUGGAAUGAUUUUCUACGUGUGUCGAGAAUUAACAGCUAGUUUCGAUAUUUAGAAUUAGAAUUCGUUUUUUUUUAUAACGCUAAUACAAGUAAAAUUGAUUUGUGAAAUCAUUUGAAGAAUAAUAUUUGAUAUUAUUCUGUAUUAAAUAUUCCAUACGAUUUAUUUGUUCGUAUGUAUAGGUAUUUAUUGGAUAACUUUUCAAAGUUAUUGUCGAGUUAUAGAAAAAUAUUUGUAAUAUUAAAAAUAUUAAACAUGCUAUUCAAUACAUAUUUACACGUACCGAAUAUUUUUUCGAAGAACAAAAAAUUGAUACUCGACUAUUCUAAAAAAAAAAAAAACAAAAAAAUGAUUAAACUUUAACCUCUCAACAAUUUCUUUAGAAUAUUUUUUGGGGAUGGGUUGAUUCUGUAAGGUUCUUAGAAAAAUUCAAGUAUCUCGUCUUGUCAUUCCUGUCAUCUCGAGGGGGUUGGUAAGAGUAAAAAGAAGGGGAUGAAGAGAAUUUUUUUCAAGUGAUUCUCACCUCACUCGAACCCCUUUUUCUAAGACGGUGUUACAGUUUUUAAACAAUUUUCACGUUUCGUGCCUACAUUGAAGUACUUAUCCUCGAAGCAAACUUCCCCCAAAGGUAUACACGAAUAUAUAUAUGUUUGUUGAAUAUACACAUAUAUGUUUGAAUGUAUUACAUGCAGUUCUACCUAUACAAGGUGUCCCGAAAGUAGCUUCACGAUUUUUAAUACAUCAAGUAUAUGAAUGGAUUCAUAUUUACAUAAAUCCACAGGUGUAUCAAACUGAAGUAUGUCAAAUAGUAGUUUUAAAGUGUUUAGUAACCAACGGUGUUAACGUUCGAACGAUAGACUAUUUGUUCUUUUUGUUGGACGAAAUAGAAACAUGGUCUAACCCAACGUUAGUAUCGAUAACCGAUAGUAGAAUACUACACGACUGCAAAACAAUUUCUUUUUUCUUUUUUCUUUGUCGUUAUUUUCUCUUCUCGAAAGUCUCGUAGGUUGGUCGUCGACCGUACGGUUGAAUAAAAAUAUAAAUGUUGGAUAGAAAAAAUGAUUGAAAUAUUUAGAAAAUUUAUAUCAUAAGCUGAAAAAUAUAUUUUUUUUAAGAGAGAAAAAGGAAAACAAGAACAAGAAUGCUAGGUAAGCGAAAGGGGUUUGAAAUAUAUAUUUGCGUUCAAGUUACGUUUAAGUUCGUCUCGACGAUUAUUCGUUGUAUUUUUCUCGAGUGGAAAAAGGAAAAGAAGAAAAAAAUACAGAAUGGCAGUGGAAUCCGAUCAAUUCUUACAACAAUUCGUUUGAAAUGAAGAAAAUAUUACAACAAUGUCUUUAAAACGUGCCGACUUUUGUACGACAAUAUAAAUUUUCACAAUAAAAAAAAAAAACUAAAAGGAGAUAAAUAAAAUAGGCGAGAAAAUCGAAUAUCGAUAGAAGAAGAACGCCUUAGGUGCGAGUCGAUGUAUCAAUUUUAAAUUGAAAUAAACCGUGUCGAUAAGGAAGAACUCGAUAUCAAAGAAAAAAGAAAGAAAAAUCCUUCCUUUGCCUGGUUGAAUUCUUUCGUAAGGAUGGAACAAAAGUAUUGUGUCAUUUUGCAUAGAGAAGAAAAAGAAAUAAGUAUGGAAGAAAAGAAGAAAAAAGAAAAUAAAGGGGAAAAUUCGUCGAUUAGAAUAUGGAAGAAGAGAAGUUACCCCCACUACUCCCUCUCAACCCCCACCACUACCAUUGGCGAUUUGCCUCUGGCUAAAGUACCGGAAGAAAAAACGAGACGGAACUAGACAGACUGAGUGAUGGAGUGAGAGUGGGGGAAAGAGAUAGAGAAAAGAUGCGCGCGCAGGUUUUACCGCUAGGUGGCCGGUAGUUUGGUAUCCUCGUCGACAGACGGCGUGCUGGUCAGUGUCGCAGUGUCCCCCGUCCUGCCCGGCAGGUUGCACACCGUCGGCACUCCGUCCACGUCGUCUCCGAGGGAAAAAAUUCGCACACAUAUGUAAACGAAAAAGUCACGAGUAGCGGUUCGUUUAUAAACAAAAAAAAACAAACAAAUAUUCGACGAUAAGUGGAGAAGAUAAAAA